ACCUCUGAUGGGGCAGGGAGUGAGGAUUUAAAAUACUGUGUUAUCAUCAAUGACAGGUAAUAGGAUUGUCAUUGAGAGGGAGGGCCAGGUAGGAGACACCUGGUGAGUUGCUGUCCCCAGGAAUUCCUUUUUCACUCUCUGAUAGAAAGUGUAGACAGGGACCAUAGACCCCUGGUCUCAGGGGUCUCAUACCCACCUGAAAAUUGCAUGAAAAUUGUGUGGGAAUGCGGGUGAGGGAUUUUAGGUGGGGGCAGGUGUGGGGCAAGGCCGUAGCUUUCAUGAGAUGGUCAAAGUUGUCUUAAUUCACUGAGAGGACAACCGAAUCUGAAUAGAGUCGGCCCAUCUGACUGACUCUGAGGGGAAACACUGGAGACACAGGUGCCCAAGGAUUCUGAGACACCCGUGGGAGGGGCUCCCUUCAGCUGUCCUUGUUCCCUCAGCUCUUACUUCAGCUGGGGAAACUUCCUGAGGGCUUCCAGGUCAUGUUUGCAGCCUGAAGUGGAGUGACCCUGAGCUAAUGAAGAUAAGUUCCAGCUCCCCUCACCUACACAAGACCCUUCUUUAUAAUUACUCACUUUCGUGUCUAAUUUUGUAUUUAUACUUUGCAUUCUUUUUACUAAAGGAUACCUACAAAUUGUAUAAACUUUAGCCCCCGUAAACCUUGCCUGUUUAUACUGUAGAAGUGUCUCCCACAUCACUACAUCUCACAAGUGGAAGGUAGGUCACGCUGUUUCUACUGCCCCUGGUCACCUAGUUACCACCCCUGAGGAACUGUUACCAGUUGUUGUGCAUCUUUCCAGAGACUGAUUAUGCAUUUAAACUCUUACACUGUUCUUUACACAAUAAAAGAUUUUUCACAGACCAGCCUUGGUGAGGCUAAGUGGUUAAAUUCACUGCUCUCCACUUUGGUGGUCCGAGUUUUGCUCCUGGGUGCAGACCUAUACCACUCGUCUGUGAGUGGCCAUGCUGUGGUGGGAGCUCACAUUCGAAAAGAGGAAGAUUGGCAGUGGAUGUGAGCUCAGGGUGAGUCUUCCUCAGGACAAAAGGAAUUUCUCAUCUCCAUAUCUGGUUUCAUGAUUUGCUGAGGAAUUUCAUGAAAUGUCCCUGGGCAUCACUUACUGUCAUUCUGAAGGAAGAGUUGUUCAAGUAAGAUUCAACCAAGGACUUAGUAUGGAGAAGACACAGCCCACAGUCCUUCAUGUUAACAAUGGAGCCAUCCAAGACUUCAUCGUAAUUCCUAUGGGAUACUUAGAUAAGUUCUACCCUGAUGUUUUGUUUUGAUUCUAUAUUCACAUUGAUUUUGAACACACAGGCACUCCCCGAGUCCCGUGCCCUGCUCCCCACCCCAACUCUCCCCUCUAGGUCUACUACAGACAAUAGAAAACUGGGUGGAAGAGAGACAUGGUGCCUCAAUCCAGAGUCAAUGCCCAGUGGACUUUGGAAACUUUGAGAUUCUCCUUCAUGAAGAACAAAAGGGAAAUACUGUAUAUUCAUAAAUAUGAUGAUGAUGUUGUGUGAGUGUUUAUUUUCUUAGUUGGCAAAAGGAAUUCAGGUGGCGUAUAUUCUAGUGCAUAAUUUAAGUGGGGCAGUUAAAAAUAAACACAACAAAAGUCAACAUACCAUAGUAAAGAUCUAGAUAUCCUAUUUAUGUGGGAUACAGUCAAGCAUUAGUGUCCUCAGCUUUCGGCACCUCAGGCCGUAAGAGAAACAACUGGGGAAUGUGCUAAACCACCUGGAGAGAAAAACACAUUCUUAUGAUGUAUUUAAGGAAGAACUUAUCAUGUAGAAUUGUUGUAAAUGUCAUUGCUUACAAAAAUGAAAAUUAUUGAUAGGUAUAAUCUUGAAAAGAUAGAAAGUUGGCUCUUAAACGUCUACUUGAAAUACCUCCUAGAGGAAGAUUGAGAUCAAAUGAUGAACAAUUUAAAGAAGGCCUUUUCCUGCAGAUCUAAGUAAAUGUGGCCUAGGAAAAUCCCUUUCCAAUAAUCGAAACAAAGACACAGGAAAAGGAGUGUCCAGAGGGGAGAGCGCCUAGAGGAAUGGGCAGUUUCAUGGAGAGCAUCUCUCCCGCUGACCAGGAAUCCUAACCAAGAAAACUGUGGAGCUGCCAAGGACUUGUGAAAACCCCAUAUCUUCAUCUAUACUUUUACUCAGAAUGAAUUUGCACUGUAUUCGGGGGAAGAGAGCAAUGAGGGAGCCUGAAAGAAGGGCUGAGUUUUAAUCAAAUGUCCUCAACUGGAUUAAGGUUCAAGCACAGGUUUAGAGCCCAGACUCCAAGUGUCAGAGGCGCAUGGCCCUGUACAGAAUAUUUCCCAAUUAAUAGCUUUACCUGGAAAUUAAUCUAAGCACCCCCACCUCAGGACCUUUGCACUUGCUACUCCUCUUACCUGGGCUGCUUCUGCCUCACUUCUUUCAUGUCUUUGUCCUCAGUGAUGCCUGCUCUGUUUAGACUUCCAACCCCCAGCACCUACUACCCUCCACACACUUUCCCUCCCCCUACUUUCUCUGUAGCACAAAUCAUGACCUGAUGUACCACAUAAUUGAUUUAUUUAACUUCGUGUCAGUCUCCUAAAAGUAUAAUGAAAAUUUCAUGACAGAGUGUAUUUUUGUCAUUUUUUUUUCACUGCUUCUACUGAGCACUCGCACUAUUUCUUGGCAAAUUGUAGGUUUAAUAAACAUAUGUUGAAUGAAUGAAUCUGAAUAUAUUUUUAUUUUUAUUAAGGUCAGAUUCUGCAGAGCCCAUCAAGAUAAAUAGUUAUCUUCAAAUUUGCUAAACUAGUUAGUCUCUUUCCGUGUAAGAGAUCUCUUUGGUUUGUUUUUGUUGAGUUCAAUUAUUGGUCAUUGCUGCUGUUGAUGAUGCUGCUACAAAACUGUUGACUGAUUCCCUUGAACCUGCUUCAAUUCAUCCUUCAUUAGCCUUAGACACACUCCUAAGAGUCCUUUGUAUCUAUGGUCUCCCAAUACCAUCCAUUUUCUAUGUCUUUGCCCCUCAGAGUUCAGACUUCAUUUUCAUGGUUAAGGCCAGAGACACUGAAGUCCUGAGCUCCUGUGUGAUGGUGCUUGGCUGCCCUCGGUGUCUCCUUACUCCCAUCCUCUGUAGGAGGGGCAGAGUGGAGUACCUGGAACACAGAGAGGACUUCUCUCUUGCUAAUAUUGAUCAUCUCACAGCAGAAACGGCCUGCAUUCCACAAUGGGGGUAGGGCAUAACGGAUGUGGAAAGAGGCUGACAAGGUGCUUCUCAUCAUUUGGGAGCUAACUCAGCCCUGCCUUGUCAGAGGACAUUUGGAUUGGAGCAAGCUGUGAACAGAGAGUUAUUGAAUCACCUUAGAAGUGAAAAAGUGUAAAUGAGAGCAAGAGGGAGAAACUCCAUGUAGAACCAAUCAGUAGACAAUAUUGAGAAGAGGGCGAAUAAUAGCUCUAGAAAAUAUCUUUCAAUUGUUGAUAAGUGGAUUCUUGAUUGGGGAAGUAGAAUAAUGUAAUUCUAUUCAUUUAAAGAUUGGGAAGUGGAAUGCAAAUCAGUUUCCCCACAGGUGACAUGUGGACAGGCCCAAGUGUCAUCUGCAGCCCAGGGCAGAGCAGCAAUUGUCACAGGAGAGUGGGUAGCAACCCCGACAUGCUUCCGUUGAAGAUUGUUAUGCCAGAGCUGGGCCGUCUUGUCUUACAGUGUAGUUUUCUUCUGUUGUUGUUAUAUUGUUAUUUUAUUUCAUUUUUAUUAGAUAAUAGUUUCAAAUUUUCAGAAGUUUAAAACUACCCAAAGCAUACUGUGAAAAUAUUUUCAAAAUUCUCUCCCCUUCUCACAGUUCCUACUGCUCUCUCCUUUGAGACCAUUAUCACUAGGUCCUUGUAUGUCUUUCCAGGCACAUAUGUGCAUAGGGGUGUGUACACACAUCUAUGUACAUGAAUUCCUGUUCCCUUUUUAAAGAAAAUAUAGCAUAGUAUACAUAGUUCUGCAGCUUGAUUAUUUUUUGUUAAUAAUUCAAUUUGGAGAUCUUAUUUGUCAAUAUGUGAAGAAUUUCCCCGUUUCCUUUUUUUCUAUCUUUAUGGUGUUCUACUAUGUGGAUGGAUUUCAUUGGUCCCUUAUUUAUUGACACUUGAGUAAUUUUAUCUUUUGCUAUUGAAAUAGUGCUGCAAUGCAUAAUCUUCUUCUCUAUGAUUUCUAGGCAUGAUGAUGUAUCUGUAGGAUAAAUAAUCAGAAGUAAGAUUGUAACAUUGAUAGAUAUUUUACCUCCACGGGAGUUAUAAGGAAGUGUGGUUGAUCUUCAUUAUACAUUUGGGCAAAUUUGGAGAAGUGUCGGUUCCACAUCACUGAGAAUCAGACUUCUCAGUUCCUCACCUCAAACCUAGACAGAGCAGCCACUCCUAGUUCACAGUCAGGGAGGGCGGUUCAUAUUGUAGGUGGAGACUUGAGAUGAGCAGAGCUGCUGUAUGGCUAAGGGAAUAAUAGGCUCGGCUCAGGUUUUGAGCAAAAGACAGCCCAGCUGUACUUCCCUCUCCAGAAACUAAUGAGUCAGCCUAUAGACUGAAGGAGAGAUGGUGGAGGACUCUGGCAAUGGGAGGAUAGGGGGCAUGAGGGAAGGGGUGUGUUCACACCUGUAGCAGCAGAGCCUGAUGCGCUUAGAGAUUCAGGCAUAUCUGUUACAUCUUGCCAUUGGGUGGUUUCACUGCUUCUUUUCCUCCCUGAAAAGUUCCCUGCCCGUGACAGUUUUCAGUUGAACAAUCCUGAAACUCAACUGAUCGGAAGGAAAUGACGUCUAAUGUGGAAGAGACCACAUAAAAAUGUAGGUAUUUUGGGCGGUGGGGAGUGGUGUUCAAUCUUUUCUCUUCUCCCCAUCUCCCCCCAUGGGGUAUAUUGGAGACCAACUUCUUCCAUCCCCCCAAGGUUUAACCCCCCCAAUCUGCCCUCCUCCUGUUCCCCACCCAUUUCCUACCCCCUCCCCCCCAGCCAAUGGAGGGCAUGGAUGAUGAGACGAAGCUGAGGCUGCAUGGGUUGCAGCAGUGCUACAUGAAACUGAAGGACAAUGAGAAGAACCGGAAGCUCUUUGACCUUCUGGAUGUCCUUGAGUUCCACCUGGUCAGUUGUUCAAGUUCCAGUAGGGGGAUGAACAUAUCUCCAACUGUAGGAGAAACCUGUAUUAAGUACCCUUUUAUUGAGAAAACCAUGUGUCUGAUUUGAGAGAGAAUGGUGGAGAAAUUCUCUUACAUGUAAUUCUUUUAAAUGAGAAUAUAAAUAUCUUUUUGGGGCUGGCCAUGAACAAGGUGUAAAUUGCUUUUCUGUUCCAUGGCUGGCACCAACAGGUACUCAAUAAAUAAGAACCUCAAUAAAUAAACCUCAAAAUAUGAAAACCCUUGAGGGGUUUAAUAAGUUCGUAAAAGUCCCCAAAUAUCUUGGGGCUGUUAGGUCCUUAAUUUGCUUGUUAGUUCUUGUGUUACUGACGGAGGAAAAGCCUUCCAUCACUGUACCUGUUGUGCAGUUUUUCAUCACUAAAAACGACUUUCUAGAAUAGGGUAGGUUGCUUAUGUUCAGUAUUUUGAUGAGCAGGUAUAUUGGUCAUGGUCUUUCUAGACUUUAGUUCUAAUUUUUACCACUUCUUCUAGGGGUGUCCUCAUCCUUGUCUCCUAACAUCUGGUAAUUUCGGUUACUGUUCUCUGCAUCUUCUCUGUAACAUGUCUGCUCAGGAAAACUCAAAGCUGAGAGAGAGAAGCUAAGUUAUAUCUAGAGCAGAAGAGGAAAUAUGUGAUGGAGACUAAAACUUCCUUUAGAAAAGUGUAAUCACUGAAAACUCCUUUGCACAUAAUCUCUCUCACACACCCAUGAACACACAUCCCCCUUCUCACUCAGAUGCAACCCCCCCCCCCCCACACACACACAUAGGUGGAGAUCUUUGUGAAGUCUGUGCAGUGUUGCUUUGCCCUGGCCCAGCUCUUGGUGGAGCAGAACUUCCCAGCCAUUGCCAUCCACCGACAGAUGCCCCAGGAGGAGAGAUGAGUCAGAGAUGGGGAAGAUGUUUUGUGUCCUUAGGAGGAAAAGAGGCCAUUGAGAGAAGGGACUUUCAACAUUUUCCUAAUUUCCUCUCUCGUGAAGGCUUUCUCGGUAUCAGCAGUUUAAAGAUUUUCCAUGACGAAUUCUUGUGGCUACCAACCUAUUCAGCCGAGACAUGGACAUCGAGCGGGUGAACAUUGCCUUUGACUACCACAUGCCUGAGGAUUCUGACACCCACCUGCAUUGGGUGGCCAGAGCAGGCCAGUUUGGCCCCUAGGGCUUGGCCAUCACAUUUGUGUCACGUGAGAAUGAUGCCAAGAUCCUCAAUGAUGUGUAGGAUUGCAUUGAGGUCAAUAUUAGUGAGGUGUCUGAUGAGAUAAACAUCUCCUCCCACAGUGAGUAUUGAAACUGGCCUCCCCAACUCUUUAGAUUCCCCUUGUUCUUUAGUGUGUUUGUUGUAAAUCCUACUAUGUAGCAAAGCCUCUGCUGCAUAAUGGACACUUGACAAGUUCAUAGCCCCCUGGUCUAGAUGCCCUGUUGGGAUGUUUGUUGGAUCUACAUGGGGUCGCUUUCUUUUCUUGUGACAUUUCUUUUUCCCACCCUCAAGUCUAUCCUCUGAACCCACACACCACAUAAACAACUGCAUGUAUGGGUGUGUGUGUCUCUGCCAACCUCACUUUUUCUUUUCUGUGUCUUAUCCUAACCAUACCAUGUUUUCUCUUCAGUUGAACAGACUCAGUAGAGGACUUCCCCACCCAUUCUGGAAUGCGACAGCUGUCCUUCUUCAGGAGAUGACACCAGGGGUAGGAGCAAAGGAUACGCUACUACCACUUACCCCCAACCCCCGCUUCAUGGCUUCCCCUUUUGCAUCACCACCACUUCUAAACCUCCAUUUCCUGAUUUGUCAGAACUUUUUUUUAACAAAAGUAGAAAACACA